rnacentral:tRNA from 2 species
GCCGCGGUAGCUUAAUGGUAAAGCAGGUGCCUGAAGAGCAUCUGAAGGCAGUUCGAUUCUGCCCCGCGGCACCA